rnacentral:tRNA from 1 species
GGAAUGCGUGGGCCUGGUGGCCCGGCCGGUCUUCAAAACCGGUUUGCGGCCUUGAGUAAGGCCGUGGCGGUUCGAUUCCCCCGCAUUCCGCA